rnacentral:rRNA from 1 species
AACGAACGCUGGCGGCAGGCUUAACACAUGCAAGUCGAACGCCCCGCAAGGGGAGUGGCAGACGGGUGAGUAACGCGUGGGAAUCUACCCAUCUCUGCGGAAUAGUUCUGGGAAACUGGAAUUAAUACCGCAUACGCCCUACGGGGGGAAGAUUUAUCGGGGAUGGAUGAGUCCGCGUUGGAUUAGCUAGUUGGUGGGGUAAAGGCCUACCAAGGCGACGAUCCAUAGCUGGUCUGAGAGGAUGAUCAGCCACAUUGGGACUGAGACACGGCCCAAACUCCUACGGGAGGCAGCAGUGGGGAAUAUUGGACAAUGGGCGCAAGCCUGAUCCAGCCAUGCCGCGUGAGUGAUGAAGGCCUUAGGGUUGUAAAGCUCUUUCACCGAUGAAGAUAAUGACGGUAGUCGGAGAAGAAGCCCCGGCUAACUUCGUGCCAGCCGCCGCCGUAA